rnacentral:rRNA from 1 species
UACGGGGGGGAGCAAGCGUUGUUCGGAUUUACUGGGCGUAAAGGGCGCGUAGGCGGCCUCCGCAAGUCGACUGUGAAAUCUCCGGGCUUAACCCGGAAAGGUCAGCCGAUACUGCGGGGCUAGAGUGCAGAAGGGGCAACUGGAAUUCUCGGUGUAGCGGUGAAAUGCGUAGAUAUCGAGAGGAACACCUGCGGCGAAGGCGGGUUGCUGGGCUGACACUGACGCUGAAGCGCGAAAGCUAGGGGAGCGAACGGG